UAAGUAAGUGGUGGAAAUUAAACCAAAUGGGAUAUCUUUAGUAAUUGCGAAUGAACAAGGAUAUGCUCAGCUUGACAAAUGGAGCUAUUGGCUUUGAAUUGUAUUGUGGAAAUGUAUUACCAACAGAGGUGCAGGUGCCAGCCUAUUGAAAUAAAGCGUCAAUGAGGGUGAGAAUCCUGUUUGUCAUGUGCAGCCCUUUGUGCACGGUGUAUAUUUGCUGAGUCACACUCCUUGGCAUUGGAAUGCAAAGUGGGUGGUAAGUUUCAUGUAAAGGUAAACAUGCAAUUGAGACUGAUAGCACACAAGUACCAUGAGGGAAAUAUGAAAAGGACUUUGAAAAGAGAAUUAAAUGAGUUUGUAUUUGCUGAACACAAAGUAAACAGACUUGAUUUGCUUGGUGGGAGUGUUGCACUUGCUUGACAAGAGCUUUGGGCUGUGGGUGUAAUGAUUCUUUCUUUGCAUGCCAGUUUCUAUUUGUACAUCUGAUUACCUUUGCACAUGAAUGGUAAGUCUCCUGUGGGGGGUGGAUUGCAUGUGCAUGUAAUGAUUUGUGUUUUGAUAAAUGUGUCUGGUGUAUGUGUGUGUUCCUGUGCUUGGGGAUGCUUCCUUCCUUGGACUUACAAGCCCUGACACACACAUGCUGGCAAAAUGCUUCUGCUUGACCCG
rnacentral:rRNA from 1 species